UUGGAGGGCAAGUCUGGUGCCAGCAGCCGCGGUAAUUCCAGCUCCAAUAGCGUAUAUUAAAGUUGUUGCAGUUAAAAAGCUCGUAGUUGAAUUUCGGGGUUAGUAGGUUGGUCACGCCUCUGGUAUGUACUGGUCUCACUGAUUCCUCCUUCCUGAUGAGCCGUAAUGCCAUUAAUUUGGUGUUGCGGGGAAUUUGGACUGUUACUUUGAAAAAAUUAGAGUGUUUAAAGCAAGCUAACGCUUGAAUGCAUUAGCAUGGAAUAAUGAAAUAGGACGUUCGAUCCUAUUUUGUUGGUUUCUAGGAUUGACGUAAUGAUUAAUAGGGAUAGUUGGGGGCAUUGGUAUUCAAUUGUCAGAGGUGAAAUUCUUGGAUUCAUUGAAGACUAACUACUGCGAAAGCAUUUGCCAAGGAUGUUUUCAUUAAUCAAGAACGAAAGUUAGGGGAUCGAAGACGAUCAGAUACCGUCGUAGUCUUAACCACAAACUAUGCCGACUAGGGGUCGGAUGAUGUUAAUUUUUUAAUGACUCAUUCGGCGCCUUACGGGAAACCAAAGUGUUUGGGUUC
rnacentral:rRNA from 1 species